CCGCCGGGCCCGAAUGCGGAGCCGCUGCGCAGCUCGCGCCUGCCGCGGGGCGCACCGGGCGCGGCGAGGCGGCCGUGCAGCCGCUGGCGGGGAGGGGGCGGCCGCUGGAGAGGAACUGCAAAUGACACAGCAGAGGGAAGGCUGGCCCAGCCAAUCCCGGAGCCGCUGCAGCGCCGGUUCCCCGCACACACUGUGGCGCAGGGACGGAGAGGAGGGGGCGGCUGGCCCCGCGCCUCCCCUGCCGUUCCCCGGCCGCUCCCCGGGGAGGAGGGCAGCUGGACGGAGGCUGCCUGGGGCCAGGGUGCAAGGGUGCAGCCGCACCUCCCUGCUGCCCGGCGUGGGAAGAAGAACGCGGAGCCAGGCAAGUCUCCCUCUGUGUCCUCUGAGGUGGAAGGAGCAUGUAGAGACAGGGCUGCGGCGGCCAGCGCCCGGCCUUGCUCUGGCAUCAGCGGCCAGAGGGCUGUGCCUCCAGCCCCUUGGGUUUGGUUCUGCUCUCGGCCCGUCCCUGGCACUUGACAGCUGCGGCGUCGCCGUGCUGAUUGGUGCCACCAUGUUAUAUAACGCUUAUAUAAUCUCCCGGGGCGAGCGCUGCGUCUCCGCUCUCGGGUCGCACAGCCGCUGUGUCCGUGUGGGAGUCCGCAUCUGUGGAAGCUCGUGGGCGGACCGACACCAUCAUGCUCACCCUGGCUCCCUCUGCUCGUCCCGGCUGUAGGAAGGGACCCAGGAGAGCUCACUCCCACCGUCUGGAGCUGACCCAGAGUGGUUGGCUGGACGGCCUUCCUCCCGUUCUUGUCCCUUCCAUGUCCCCCUGGCCCCGUGGACUUUCUGAUGGAGUGGGUUCCCUUCUUGCGCUCUGAGGCCACUUUUUUGUUCUCGGGAUCCCUUGGCGUAGCAAAUGGGUAUGGUGAGAUGACCCCCCAGAAUGUUGCAGUGGAAGAAUAUACGGUACACAGGGUUGGAUAAAGAGAGCGAGAAAUGGAGGUUUUGAGCAAGAGUGACUAGAAGGAUGGGAUGAUAGUGGCCUUCUAAGAAAUCUGGAGCCGGCCUUAGGGCCAGAGGAUGGUCAGGGAAGGGUGUUCAGGGAAGUGGAUCAGACGGCAAAGAUAAACAUGGUGUUCUUUUACCGUACUCUCCACUGGGCUGUCCCUGGUUACCAGGGCAACAGAAGCAGUGAUGAAAAUCAUGCCUUUCGUUCAGUGGAAAAAUCUGGCUCCUCCCCCCACCUCUUCCUUCUCUAAUCGUGUGCAACCUACCCGAAGAGUGAUGGCUCCAGGGAUCAGAGACCCCAGUGUGUUCAUAUCAGGCCCCCUCCUUCCCCAUUUUCGGUCAUCUUUCCCUUUCCUGCGUUCCCCAUCCCCCCUAGAGCUCAAUAAUUGGCAGUUGAGGAGGAGUUGGCCUGGAUGGAGGGGGAAGGGCAUGGACGUCAUUGCAGGGCAGGGUGAGCAGAGUGCGUGGGCAGAGAUGUGGAUGCAGGAGUGGCUGGCCCACGAGGAAGGCCAGGCAUUUAUUAGCUGGAUGGAGCUUGUGCCUGGGAUGGUAGGAGCUGUGGGCGGGAGGGCGGGGGCGAUGAUGGAAGGCCUGGAGAGUGUGGUGGUCUGGGUGCGCAGUGGUGGGAAAUGGGAAGGCCCCGAGGUUUCUGGUGUGGCUGUGGCUCCCGAGGAAAGCUCCAACUCAUUCAUUCAGUGUUUUUUUGGUGCCUCCCAUGUGAGGUAAGGUUCUGGGAACUGCGAAGACACAGGUCAGUAGGAUGGACCUUGAAGAGAUCAUGGUAGAUGAGAGUGGGAUACGUAUACCAGGGAAGAUCAGCUGGCAUGGUUACAAGCCUAGACUCUGGGGCUCCAGGCAGGAGACUGGCAGUAUUCCAGACUGGAAGUGAUAGAUUAAGGUGGAGGCUGCAAGAAAGUGGAGGAAGAGGUAGUUCGCAGAGCCCUCUUGGCUUGGGGACAGGACAUGGGCAAGAUAAGAUGCUGAUGUUUUGAGCCUUCGUGAUUGACAGAAGUAGCAGAAUCAAGGUUCAAACUUGCUUGGGGGAGUCAUGUUUGAUUUGCCUUUGGACACACUGCCCAAGACAAUGGCAGGGUGUCUGAGUAGAAAUAUUUAUGGUCAGGCAAAGAGAAUUUGCGGUGGAAAUCCGUUCUGGGAAAACACUUGGAGGAAACCGUAUUAUUACGAAGCUUUGAAGGUGUGAGGUUGCUGAGAAGGUGUGGAGAGAGAGAUCCCAGGGCUUGGGACAUGGGCCUCGGGCUGGGUGAGGCUCUGAGCCUGGCACUUAUUACCAGGGCCCGCCCAGACUGCCGGACCAGAUUUCUGCUAAUGAACGCCCACAUCUCCUACCAAACCACACCCUUUUUUGAAGUUCAGGUUUCUGUUUGAAUUUUCUUCUCCCUGGUAACUAUGUCCAGGAGGAUAUGUCCUGGAAAGAUAGAUAUGUGCGCUUACCUCUCCAAGCUCUCUCCUUGACCUUUGCUCUACGAUCCGCUUAUAAAUUCCUGAGAGGCCCUGGCCUGUGCUACAGAGAUGCGCCAUAUGCCUUCAGCCUCCGCCGGCAAGGCUGUUCUUUCUGGCUCAUUUCCAGUCACCACUGCAGGAAUAAGAGCGCUCGACAGAGGCCUUUGCCAGCAACGCGAUCGUGAGCACGUCACUUCCGUUUCCAGGCUAAGGCCUAGUCUAAGGGUCUAGUUUCUUCCAGCUCUGAAGACUUCAGAUAGGACGUCCAGUUUUUUCCCUGCAUUUGCCAAGGUUUCUGUUGAAGACCAGACGUUUGAAACCAGCAGCCCAGAUUUCUCUGGUGCUUUGUGGUAGGGGGCAUGGGAGAAAUCCCUAGACCAGGCCCCUGUCUCCAGAUUGGGCGGGAGCCCUGCAAGUAGCGGGUGGCCCGUGUUCUUCUUGGGAGCGUGGAAAUACUAGAAGGGUAGUUUUUCCCCAGUGACCAGGAAUGGGCCAACUUUGGCCUGUGGGCUGAUGCCUGCUUUUGUAAAUAAAGUUUGAUUGGCACACAGGCCCACUGUUUAUGUCUCUGGCUGUUUUCACGCUGCGUUGGUACAGCCGAGUUGUCGCAAUAGAAACUGUAUGACCUGCAAGCCUAAGUCUUUACUGCCUUGCCCUGAAAGAAAAAAAAAAAAAAAAUUCACCCCUGUCCUAGAACACCAGAAAAGUGCUUGGGUCACCACUGAGGGUGCUUGCCAUGGUCAGAUUCCUGGGGUUCUUGAAGACUGUGCCUUGGGCCUUCCUUGGUGAUAUCCCAUGAGAGGAUGAGGCAGCAGGUGAGGUGGUAGGUUCUUUAGAGUCAGCCCCAAGAUAGUACUCCCCGUGUCUGGGAAGCCCCUUCUGUGUGGAUCCCUUUUCCUGAAGCCUUUCUGUUCCCAGCCCCCAGCAUCCCCCAGCACAGACACUUCUUUGAGCCCAGAGGCCUGAAUUCCUUGUCAGGGAUGGCUUGGGGCCCUGGUGUGACAAGCUACCUCCCCUCUCAUUUCUCACGCCCCUGCAGAGGAGAGUGGACCAACCGGUGUCUGGUGUGGAGGAGAGGCCCAUAGGUUUUGACGAGUCCUGCGGCGUGUUUCUCUUGAUACCUUUGCCUUGCCACUUCUGGCCUCACUGUGCCCUUUUGGCUGGAGGCCCUGAAGAUGCGUCUGCAGAGAGGGUCUGCAGCCCAGCGGGGCCUGUCUGCCAGAGCCGGCCCCGCUGCCUGGGGUUGGUGGGGUGUGAGCCUGGGUGGCUCGAGGCUGGAAUCCCAGCACUCGGGAUCCUUGCUGCCAACCGUACUGGGUCCUCUCGGGUCCCGAUUUCCACCUUUUUUUGACUCAGUCCUUAAACUGGAGUCUCAGGGGAACUCCUGGCGAGGAACAGGAUGAAUUUCAAAUUCUUCCUUUUACAAAACAGCAGCCUCAGGGCAGUCGGGUCGCUUCUUCUCAGGGCUGAGGUAGAAAGUGAGACACUUUGGUGGCGAGAGGAAACAGUGUGUGCAGAGCCGUGCAGGAGGGGGGCAAGCGGGUGGUGGCUGAGGUUUAUUCCCAUUGCAGCUGGAAGGGAGGAGGCUGGCCAGGGGAGGCGGGAGCCAACGACCCAGAAUAGCAAAGAAGACAGAAGCUAAGCACAUCCAGAGCUGCUUUUAGCCAGCAAUGGUAAGCCUGGCUCUAGAAGUCUUACUUCUCACCUCCUCUACACACAUUUCCCCCAGAGGCCCCGGGGACGUUUUCUUCUCAUUGAAGAAAAAAGAAGAAAGGUCUUUAUCAAAAAUCCUCUCUAAAUACCUUUCAGUCCAAGGUGACCCCACACUACCUUUCAGUCCAAGGUGACCCCACACUACGCGGGUUUCCAUAAAUGUUCAGACAAGUGCACUGACUUGGAGGAACAUUCAUUUGCUACAGAUUUAUUAACGAUCUGUUCUGGGUUGGGCAUUGUGCAAAGCUUGGUGGGGAUACAGAUAUCUAGAGGAUUCACAGAAUAGUCUGGAAGGUAUGUGGGCAGUUGAACCGAUUUUAAUAGGACCUGCCCCAGAUCAUUGGAAAAGACCCUGAUGCUGGGAAAGAUUGAAGGCGGGAAGAGAAGGGGACGACAGAGGAUGAGAUGGUUGGAUGGCAUCACUGACUCAAUGGACAUGAGUUUGAGUAAUCUCUGGAACUUGGUGAUGGACAGGGAAGCCUGGCGUGUUGCAGUCCAGGGGGUCGCAAAGAGACAGACACUACUGAGUGACUGAACUGAACUUCCCCAGAUCAUAAGCUUUAGGCAAGCGCAUUUGUGUCUGUCGCGUUCAUUGCAGCGGCCCAGUGUGGGGCACUGCGCUCGGCACUUGGCAGGCACGCACACCCCUGAAACUGGCUGACCCAUCCGUGCAGGCUCCCACGUCCCUGUAACUGACUCACCCAGCCCUGUUCGGUGUCUGUCCUGGAAAGCAGGAGGGUCCUGAGGAGGUAAGUGGAGCAACACAGGAGCUCACAGGAGCCCUCGUGACAAACCAGGGCCAAGAUGGGCUCUUUAAUAACAACCGGACAGACUGGUUAUGUGGGUGCUGUUAAGGAGAAAGGAUGCAGACAGGUUGACCCUGUCGGGAAGGAGGGACUUUUGACCUUCGGACUGUGAGAAAGGAGGAGAAUGACCUGGGACAAAGAGGUGGGUCACCAUCCCCAUGUGACCGGGUAAAGCCAGAGGGGCUAAGGAAGAAAAAAGAACCAGCCGGUGGCAGGGAAGGUAGGAUGGAGUCAGGAGAGGAGAAACCAGAAUGGGAGGGAGCCUGGAGGCAUCACAGGCCCAGGGCGGACACGGAGCUGAAGCAGGGGAAGAUGCUGGCAGUGGCCGUCGGAUCUGACCGGCGGGCCUCCUCCCAGUGAUACGAUCAUGACCAGACAUGACCCAGAAUACCACAUUUCUCUGCACUGGUCAGGCACAGGGAAAGUGACUGCAGUUUGAGGUUAUAGUUACUGUGGAAGUUUUCGUGUAUCUGCGAAGGUAAAGAGCAUAAGUGAUCUCGGUGGCUGCCACUCAGUUUUAUCUUGUAAUCUACACACAGCACUGUCUGUUUCAUUUGUACAUCCAUCAGCCUUAUCCCUCACUCCCCUUUUGGAUGAUUUUACAGCAGAUCCAAGGUAUCAUAUUUCAUCCAUAAAUACUCCAUGAUGAAUCUUUUAAAAAGUAUUAUUUUAAAAAACAUAACUCCCGUAGUAUCACUCCCAGCAAAAGCACUGUCAUUCUUAACGUCACCAAUUAUCCAUUCAGUUAGGUUUCCCUUGCUUGUCUCAAUUUUUUAUAUUUUUUGGACACAGUUGGUAUUUUGUUUGAAUCAAGCUCCACACAAGGUCCCCAUGUUUCAUGUUGUUCAUGAUCAAUCUCAGCGUCUCUGUUAGGAAAGAGGAUGCUCUUUCGGGAAAGCUCGAUGCUGUGCAGUUCUGUAGUUCAGAUUUACUUAGCUGCCCUGCCCCCAUCUCCAGUCGGCUACCGUUAACAGCUCUCCUGAGUUUUGUGAACCAUUUGGUGAUUUUUGAGCAUCCUUCAUUAUUCCUCUUGUCUUUGUGGUGUAACAUAACUAGUCGUUUUUUCCUUCGUUUGAUAAGUAUUUCUCGCGAGUCUUCUCAGUGCCAGACACUGGAGCCGGCACGCUGCGGUGGACAGGCCGGCCUUUCUCUUGAGGAGCUUCUAGUCUGACCGCGUGGGUGCUGUCGAGGGCCUGCUGGCUGUCCCCGACCCUGUCCAGCUGGCCAAACUGGGUGGCCGCAGGCGUCCCUGCUGGUCCGACAGAUCCACCGUGUCCUGGGGCUUGGUGUUGGUGCUCUCAUGCUGUCCUCUCACGUGGGUGAUCAGUGGUGUCCCCGGCUGUGGCGGCUGCGGCAGGUCCACGUUCCAUGGCCUUGCCCGGGGAUUCCAACAGUGUCACUAGCUGACCCUGCGUGCGUCUGCAAGACGCUCUUGGGCCUGAGCCUUUGUCGCUGAGCUUGACUGGUGGCUUGUAGAGGGGUGAGUGGAAACACAUGGAAGGUGUUCGGAGUGGCCACAGGGCUCAGCACACACCGUGGUGCGGGACUGUUCCUGGAGCAGGGCAGCUGUUUCUCUGCCUCUGUGAAUUUCUGGGGACCUCGAGGCUCUGGCCCUUAACGAUUAGGCCACCUGGGUAAAGUGUCUGCCUGCAAUGUGGGAGACCUGGAUUCGAUCCCUGGGUCAGGAAGACCCCCUGGAGAAGGCAAUGGCAACCCACUCCUGUACUCUUGCCUGGAAAAUCCCAGGGACAGAGAAGCCUGGUGGGCUAUAGUCCAUGGGAUCGCAAAGAGUUGGACAUGAUUGAGCGACUUCACUUUCACUUUCAUUUUCAUGAUUCUUGUUGCAGUUUUCGAGUUCAAAUGCAGGUAUAUUGCGGUUCCUGAUUUAUAGUGUCUGAGCCUUUUUUUUUUUUUUUUUAAAUCUUAGUUCAUAAAAAUUAAUGUAUUCUUAGAUAAAAAAACUUUCACCUCCUCUAGAUCUUUUCUUGUACACGUAAGAUAAUACCGAUUAUAUGAAUAUGCUAAGAUAUGUAUUUCUGAAGGCUACAUAGUGUAGCCUUUGGUGAUAUGGUUUUAUUUUCUUCUAACUAAUCUUUAUUUUGAUUGUGCUCUGGUAUUGGUUAAAACUUUUAGGCAAAUUUCCUUGUGUGUUGUGUCUGUGUGCGUGUUUAUAUACAGCAAGGCUGUUCUAAUAAUACAUCAUACACUUUAUAAAAUAAAAAGUGAAAAUGAUUGGGUGUCUUGUGUUCCCGCGUGAACUACUUACGGUUCUGUCUGAGGGCAGCCGCUCUUUGCUCAGAAUUUCAUCCUGAGACGUAUUCAGGACGCUCUUUCAGCACCUCCCUCUCCUCCUGGCUAACUAGAUCGUUUCGAUAUGCUGCUAUUUUUCCCAUCUUUAAAAAAAAAAUGCUUCUUUGACCCCAUCCAUCUCUUCCAGCUACUGCCCCAAACCGUUCCAGUCCUUGCUUCCUUCACUCCCCCUCUCUCAUCUCCCCAGUCAGGCUUGUCCGAACCGCUCCGGGCAACAGCGCUCUGGCCACGGCCAGCGGUGACCUCCUUGCUGCUACACGUAGCGGUCCCUUCUUGGUCUUCAUCCUGGUAUCAGCGGCUCCAGCAGUGUUGGCCCAGCUGGUCAUACCCUUUCCCUUGGAGCUCUUUCUUCACUUGGCUUGCAGGGAGCGUGUUUCUGGUUUUCCACCUGUCUUAUCGGCCGUCCCUUUCAGCAUCUCUGCUCCCUGACUUCUCAUUGUUAGAAGGCCCGGGCUUCUCCCCUCCCUCUUCUGAUUCUCUUUGUGGCCCUCUCCCGACUCAUGCCGUUAUAUACCCCCUGUAUGGAUGCUGCCUGGAAUUCGCUCCAGAGGAAUUCUGUGAGAUAAACAAGACUGACCAUGACUUGAUAAUGGUUGAAGGUGGCUGGUAGGUACCUGGAGAUUUAUCAUACGAUUAUCUCUAGUUUUGUCUGUGUUGGAAUUUCCCAUAAUGAAAAGAAAGAUCAACAUGCCGAUGACUGCCCCACCCACUGCCAGUUCUUUGUCUCAAGCCCAGCCUCUCUCCUGAGGUACUGCUCUGUGUGUCUAUCUGCCCACUUAACAUUUCAACUUGAAUGUUAAUAGACAUUUCGUACUUAACACGCCCAACAGUGAGCUCCUGAUUUUUCCACGUAAAUAUGUUCUUCCCCCAGUCUCCUGUCUUGGUUUUACUCAUCCGUAAUGCCUGUGGCCUCGCUUCACUUCUCUCUUUCACGUCCUUCAUCCCGUCCACCAGUGAAUCUCCAUCACUCUGCCUGUAACAUGUAUCAGACGUAGGAUAUGACUAGUCAGAGCUGCCUCCACGGCCAUCACCCUAGUCCAGGCCAGCAUCAUCGCUCACCUGCUUCUCCUCCGCCCUGUACAGGCUGUAGUCCUCCCCGUGCUCGGGAGGAUCCCUGCCAUGCUCAAAAACCUGCUGUGGCUUCUUUUGCUUUCAGUGAAACCCAUGGUCCCUAGAGUGGCCUACAAGACUCCAUAACUUAUGAACAGAGUCCAGUAGAAAUACAGUGAGUUACACAGGAGUGCCACAUUCAUAAUUUAACACUUUUCUGGUGGCUAAAUUUAAAAGGAAAAAGGUGGAAUUAAUUUUGAUAAUUUAACCCAGUAUGUCAACACUGUUUUCAUCUCUGAGGGCUGUACCUCACCCCCAUGGCACAUGCAGUUUGGACCAGCUGCGUUUCAUGUGCUCGGCGUCCUCACGUGGCUGGCGGCCGUCAUAGUUCAGUCAUGGGCCUCCGUGGUCUUUGCUUCUGUGUCGUUCUUUCCUACCGUUCUUCCCUUCUCUCACUUUGCUCCAGCCACACCAACCUCCUCGCUGUUGCUCGAACAAGCCGGGCAUUUCCAGUUUCAGGGCCUUUGGACCUCCUGCUCCCUCUGUCUGGAAUGCUUUUCCCCAGAUGGCCGCACGGCUGGCUCUCCCUUCCUUUGGGUCUGUGCUCGUGUCUGCUCUACCUUCCAGGACCCCGCUUGCCCCCGCACCCU
ensembl:lncRNA